AGUGAACGCUGGCGGUAGGCCUAACACAUGCAAGUCGAACGGCAGCACAGUAAGAGCUUGCUCUUACGGGUGGCGAGUGGCGGACGGGUGAGGAAUACAUCGGAAUCUACUUUUUCGUGGGGGAUAACGUAGGGAAACUUACGCUAAUACCGCAUACGACCUACGGGUGAAAGCAGGGGAUCUUCGGACCUUGCGCGAUUGAAUGAGCCGAUGUCGGAUUAGCUAGUUGGCGGGGUAAAGGCCCACCAAGGCGACGAUCCGUAGCUGGUCUGAGAGGAUGAUCAGCCAAACUGGAACUGAGACACGGUCCAGACUACUACGGGAGGCAGCAGUGGGGAAUAUUGGACAAUGGGCGCAAGCCUGAUCCAGACAUACCGCGUGGGUGAAGAAGGCCUUCGGGUUGUAAAGCCCUUUUGUUGGGAAAGAAAAGCAGCAGGUUAAUACCCCGCUGUUCUGACGGUACCCAAAGAAUAAGCACCGGCUAACUUCGUG
rnacentral:rRNA from 1 species